rnacentral:rRNA from 1 species
GCCAGACUCCUACGGGAGGCAGCAGUGGGGAAUAUUGCACAAUGGGGGAAACCCUGAUGCAGCGACGUCGCGUGAGUGAUGAAGUAUUUCGGUAUGUAAAGCUCUAUCAGCAGGGAAGAAAAUGACGGUACCUGACUAAGAAGCCCCGGCUAACUACGUGCCAGCAGCCGCGGUAAUACGUAGGGGGCAAGCGUUAUCCGGAUUUACUGGGUGUAAAGGGAGCGUAGACGGCGGUGCAAGCCAGAUGUGAAAGCCCGGGGCUCAACCCUGGGACUGCUCUGGAAACUGUAAAGCUGGAGUGCGGGAGGGGCAGGCGGAAUUCCUGGUGUAGCGUUGAAAUGCGUAGAUAUCAGGAGGAACACCGGCGGCGAAGGCGGCCUGCUGGACUGCAACUGACGUUGAGGCCCGAAAGCGUGGGGAGCAAACAGGAUUAGAUACCCUGGUAUG